GCCGUACUUAUAAAACUCCACAAAGAUGCCGUCUUAGUUAGGAAAAGUACUUAACCUACGAGACUUAAGCGCUAAGAAUCUUUCCUAGCAGGAUGCUUUGUUAAGUAACCGUCUUUAGGCGCUUACACCGCUAACCGCUAACAUGAGCAGACGUUAUGUAAUGUUUUUUGAGGAAUUUUGCAAGAAACGGGUAAAAAUACGUAAUUAUUAUAUUUUAAAUAAAAAACAUAUUUAUCUAGUUAGUUUUCAACAAUCAUCUCUUCAUUUUACCCUUGAUAAUCGAAGGUAUAGAUUUACCACCACUGUUGUCAUCUUGUCAAACCAACAAUCAUUUGGCGCCAACUUCGACUGCGCACCAUGGCUACUCAAGAGACUCAAGACAAGAAGAGGAACAGGAAGACGAACUGGACGCCUUCAUCUGGCCCACCUAUACAAAAUUCUCGCAAAAAUACUCCGGAGCGACUUCUCCACAGCUGGCUGCUCUAAGGAAGCCAGAAAUGCUGCUUGGAGGACCAAUAAUGCGGAGGUGUCUGCCGUGUCAGACAUUCUCCGCACUGAGGAGUGCCAGAAACAUUGGCAUAUUAUAAAAUCUGAGGCAUGACGGAACACCAGCAAGCAGAGAGAAGCCAUGACUGCCACAGGUGGUGGACCUCCUGCCAACCCUCCUCUCUCCCAGCUCGAUGAGUUAAUCUUUGAGAUUUUGGACCCCAAGAAUGUCUCUAUUCAUGGGUGUACCAAUAAGGCAAGCAUCAUUGAAUGCACCUUCCAUAACAAAGGAUAAGCCACUUGUAGAUAUAGCAAUAUUAGGCCAUAAUGUUGUCUCAAAUGUCUGCAAUCCAAAAUACUCGUGUUUCCAGUUAGUUUACAACUUACAGUUAUACACAAUGGUAGAUUUGUUAUCUAGUGUUGAGAAAAUUUCAUUUAUUUAUUUUUUUUUUAUUCCUUAACUAAACAGAUAAAACAGUAAUAAGAAAAGAAAAAAAACUAAUAAAGUUAACUUAAUUUCUAUCCCUUCUCCCCAUUCAUAAGUAUGGUGUUGUAGUGGGUGAAUGUGUUAAUGAUAACGAGUCUUAGGUAUUUACAGUUUCUUAGACAUGGGCUUCCUUCAAACAGAAUAGGAUUUAAGUCAAACACAUUGUACCCUUAGCUAGAUUUACUGGUUUCUGUUACUUUUGUCCUUAGCAAUAAAACCAAAAACAUUA